rnacentral:sRNA from 1 species
CUGGUGGGUGUGCCGCGAAACUCCCUAUAUCUAUAGCUAAUAAUAACCGGAGAAGCCGAGAAACUAUCAACCUAAAUAUGCAUUCUUAACGAGUUUAAUU